CCAGAUCAAGGGUACACACUUCAGUUUGAUUUAACACCAAUGAUGUUAACCAGGUCACCUUGCUAAAAUAAUGUUUGCAGUUUUCUUCACUGUAAAGUGUUUGUUUUUAUUUUUGUUUUCAAUGCUCUAUUCUUCUGAAACAAAGCACUAAGCUCAGCUCACUUUUAAAGUUCCACCUCUAAUAUGAUUUGGCUCUAUGUCCCCAACCAAUCUCAGCUAGAAUUGUAAUCCUCACAAUCCCCACAUGUGGAGGGCAGGACCUGGUGGGAGGUGAUUGGAUCAUGGGGGCAGUUUCCUUCAUGCUGUUCUCAUGAUAGUGAGUUCUUUCAGGAGAUCUGAUAGUUUUAUAAGAGGCUCUUCCGUCUUCACUGGUUCACUCUCUCUUGCCUGCCGCUAGAUUACCCAGUCUUGGGUCUGUCUUUAUAGCAGUGUGAGAGUGGACUAAGACAACCUCCUUGAGGAAUGGAUGCUGUUCCUUUUGGGAUCAGAAAUUUAUAAUUUAUCAACGUGAUCUAGCUUUUUCUUUUGCUUUGCAUUUCAUAUUGUAUUUAAGAUGACAUUUGCUAUUGAUAUGCCAUAAACUUCUUUUUCUAUAUUUUCUGCUAAUAUUUAAAUUUUUUUUCAGUUUUUUCUUGAAUAUGUCAGGAAUUUAAUUUAUUUUGGCAAAUAGUACAUUACAGGUUUACAUUUGUUAUUUUAUAAAUAGCCAAGAAUCCCAGAUCGAUUCAUUGAUUUGCUUAUUCUUUCUCUAACAUCUCAAAAAGCCACUAUUAUAGUAAAUUCUCAGAUUUGACUUUUCCUAAGCCCACUGUCUUGUUCCAUAAUUUUUAAAAGUUAUUUUUGCAAUUUGCUAUUUGUUAUAUGAGUUUUAGAAUCAGUUCAUCAGUUUGCAUGAAAACACUGUACUAAUUUCUUAAUAACAUUGUACUGCAUUUAUGUAUAAAUUAAGGAAGAAAUGACAAAAUACAAUAUCAGGAAUUUCUACACGGAAACAUGGUAUGUUUCUCUAUUCAUACAGAAAUUCUGCUCAUUAGUGCAGUUUUAUAUUUCUGUUUAUAUUGGUCUUAUACAUUAUGAUCAGUUCUAUUCCAAUUUAUUUUAUAAUUUUACUGCUAUGUUAGAUGAAAACAUAUUUCAUUUUAAAUUGCUUAUUUCUGAAGCAUAAUAAACAACAAUUUUAUGUCAAUAACAUAACUGGUCAUAUUGUUAAACUAUUUUAGUUUAGUGUUUCUCAGUUAAUUCUGAGAUUAUCACAUUCUUAGGUUGAUUAUCAUAUUUCCUACAAAAUGCAAAAGAGUUUUCUAGUAAGUAAUAAAAGCAUAAAUCUUUUAUUUUUUCCAUAAUUUUUAAUAAAAACAAGUGGCCUUUUAUUAUUCAAUAGUAUUAGUGAGAACAACUAUCUUGCUUUAUUUUUACUUAAUUUGAACUGCUUUUAAUAUUACUUCCCAAAUAUAUUUGGAUAUAUUUGGAAAUAAAAUUGUCACAAAUACAUUCAGAGCAUUGAUUGAGAUGAAUAAAUUUUCUCUUUAAUAUAUUGAUAAGUAUUUUCACUUCAAUAUUAUUUGUAAUAUUUAAUCAUUUUGUUAUUGCAAGGCAAAUAACAAAUGGAACUCACUUAACUAUAUCAUUAUUUUAAUAACCAAUAAACUUAUUUUAAUAAUGUUUUAUUUAAAAUUUGCACAUCCCAAUGGAUAUAUAAGAUUAAUUUUUGAGUGCUGGAUUUACUUUAUUGCUUGUUUUUUUGCAUGAUUUAAGGUUAGCUUUCUUCCCCCCACCAUUUUUUUGUAUUUUCUACCCCGAUCUUAUCUCUUUUUAUAUUAGAAAUAUUAGUCUAUUAAAGUAAAUUGAAUAUCUUUUUGUCCUGUUCUGUGAUCUGGAAUACUUUGUGCAAUUGAAAUGAUCUGCUGUCAGUGUUUAGAAACUAAGCACUUGUCGGAUCAUCUGGGUCUGGUGUCCAGUUUAGACACAAAUCUAUGACUUCCUUCCUUCUUAUAUUAUUAUGGAUUCAAUUUUGGAAGGCAACUAUUUAGAAUUUCUAUACACAUCAAACAUUAUUCACUGUGUCUAAAAUAAAAUUAUAUUAUAAUUAAGAUUUGAACACUAAUAGCUUGCUUUUUUUUAUCUAAAACACUCUCAUUAUUAAUCUCACUAUGUGGUAUUUCAAACAUGAAUCCAGCUAAAGCUGGGUGUAGAAAAGAAGUAGCGAGGACAGAUGAGAGAAAAAAAACUUUAAUUUGGUGAAACUAGAAUUUUUAUCACUACUAAACCAUGACUAUUCGUUAAUUUUUGCCAUCUGUGCACACUUUUAUCUCACCUGCGGGUAGGAAGGAAAGAGUAACCCAGUAAGGCAAAUUUGAAGGAACUAUAGAAGAGAAUAAAUGAGUAAAGUUGCUUUCUCCUCACUCCUGACAGACUCCAGCUUGUCCCGUAAAUCACUUCCACUAGCUAGUAGUAUUACUUAAAUUUGCAGGAUAUAGCUCUUACCUCAUUGAAGAAAAUUUUUAUAAAUUAGUAUAAAUGGUGAGUCAUGGUGGCUCACACCUGUGAUCCCACCACUUUGGGAGGCCAAGGUGGGAGGAUGGCUUGAGCCCAGGAUUUCAAGACCAACUUGGGCAACAUAAUGAAACCUCAUCUCUACAAAAAAAUACAAAGAUUAGCCAGGCAUUGUGGCAAAUGUCUGUGGUCCCAAAGGCUAAGCUGGAAGGAUCCCUUGAGCCAGAAAGUUGGAGGUUUCAGUGAGCAGUGAUUGCACCACUGCACUCCAGCCUGGAUGACAGAGUGAGACCCUGUCUCAAAAAUAAAUAAAUAAAUUUAAAUUUUAAAAAAUCUAGUAUGAAGCAGAUUUUAUUUCCUCACGCAUAGCCUUUUCCUAUUUUAUAAUCAUAUCACUUCUUUACUAUCACAUUAUCAAAAUAAUUUUUCUGAAACAAAGGAAACUUCCAAAAAUUAAUUCAAACCUCUAUCUCUAAUGAAAUAUUCAUUUUUUAUUGAGAUUUGAUGUCUACAAAUGGCUUCUGUUCUCACUCUGAGCUCGAUUCUAUUCAUCAAUAACUCAGAUGAUACAACCCUUCUACAGUUAUAUUCCAGUACAUAAGACUACAACUUGCUAUAAAGUAGAUAAUAGUAUUUGACAUAUAUAUAUUUCACACACAAGCAUGCACACACAUGUGCACAGAAGACAGUGACCCACGUUCACAUUAACUUUUUCAGGUCUGACCUGCUGUUGUGUUCCAAGUCAUUUACGUUGAGAUAAGGCCGUCUUGGUCUCUCUAUCCUUCGCUAAUUCAACCAAUCUGUAAUACAGUACUUCCCAGUGUGUUAUCUUGAUUUUAUUAUCCAUUCUCUCAGAGAAAUACAGAUGCGGAAGAUCUCCUUUCUACUUACUCUCUUGGUUAUACAGAUGUGAAAGUAGUAAGUGUAGCUAACUCUCCCUGCCACCCCCGCCAAAAAAAAAAAAAAAAAAAAUUCUAAUUUGUGCAGAGGUAUUGAGACAUGAUUCUGACCAACAGGGAUGGAACAGUAAAGCAUCAUUAUUUUUCCCCUUUUGGGAUUCCAGCACCUAUUUGCCAAUGAGAACAAGAGCCAAUCAGGGCAACUCAGCAACUUGGAAAGAAAUUGUAUGUUGUUUCUUAGGACCCUAUUACUUUUCUACUACCCGAAACAGAAAAGCAAUGUGCUACAAUUGACUUUAAUUUUACUUUUUUUGCAUUGGUUCUUCAGACUUUACACAAUAUCUGAUACCUGAAUGAGCCUAAG
rnacentral:lncRNA from 10 species